rnacentral:rRNA from 1 species
GUGGGGUUCGGCAGGCUACACAUGCAGCCGAGCCAUUACAUCACAGUGCUUGUACCUCUUCGAGAGGGGCGGACGGGUGAGUAAUGCCUAGGAAUCUGCCUGGUAGUGGGGGAUAACGCUCGGAAACGGACGCUAAUACCGCAUACGUCCUACGGGAGAAAGCAGGGGACCUUCGGGCCUUGCGCUAUCAGAUGAGCCUAGGUCGGAUUAGCUAGUUGGUGAGGUAAUGGCUCACCAAGGCGACGAUCCGUAACUGGUCUGAGAGGAUGAUCAGUCACACUGGAACUGAGACACGGUCCAGACUCCUACGGGAGGCAGCAGUGGGGAAUAUUGGACAAUGGGCGAAAGCCUGAUCCAGCCAUGCCGCGUGUGUGAAGAAGGUCUUCGGAUUGUAAAGCACUUUAAGUUGGGAGGAAGGGCAGUUACCUAAUACGUAUCUGUUUUGACGUUACCGACAGAAUAAGCACCGGCUAACUCUGUGCCAGCAGCCGCGGUAAUACA